GAUAACAGGCUUAUCUCCCCCAAGAGUCCACAUCGACGGGGAGGUUUGGCACCUCGAUGUCGGCUCAUCGCAUCCUGGGGCUGUAGUCGGUCCCAAGGGUUGGGCUGUUCGCCCAUUAAAGCGGUACGCGAGCUGGGUUCAGAACGUCGUGAGACAGUUC
rfam:Bacillus sp. FJAT-27231 Scaffold1, whole genome shotgun sequence.